rnacentral:rRNA from 1 species
UACGGAGGGUGCAAGCGUUAUCCGGAUUUACUGGGUUUAAAGGGUGCGUAGGUGGAUUAGUAAGUCAGUGGUGAAAUCUCCGGGCUUAACCCGGAAACUGCCAUUGAUACUAUUAGUCUUGAAUAUCCUGGAGGUGAGCGGAAUAUGUCAUGUAGCGGUGAAAUGCUUAGAUAUGACAUAGAACACCAAUUGCGAAGGCAGCCCACUACGGGAUUAUUGACACUGAGGCACGAAAGCGUGGGGAUCAAACAGG